ACAGAUGUUACUCUCAUGAAGAACACAUCAGCAAACUGUGCAGUGACGCGAACAACUAUAAAGUCAAAAAUAUACAACUUGAAGAACACAAGAAGCUGCUACAGGACAAGGUCGACGUAUUGUAUCUAAAUGCUUCAAAAUCAAUGGCCAAAAGUGAACACUUAGAAAAUACCAACGAUAAGUAUUCAAACACACGACUGGCGGAACGAUUUGAUGGGAAGGUUUAGGAUUCAUGGUUGGAUUUAUGUGACCUUCUGAACGACGUUUUAACGGAAUGGGAACGUGUGCAAGCAUUGUCUAGAAUU